rnacentral:lncRNA from 1 species
UCUACACACUUUCUACCAAUUAGAGUUGGAUUUACUUUGGAAAGACUAGCAAAAUUAUAUAUGAAAAAAAUUAUAAGGCUACAUGAAAUUUCAGUGAUCAUUGUAUCGGAUCGAGACACCAGAUUUGUAUCAUAAUUUUGAAAGAGCGUACUAAGGCAUUAGGAACAAAAUUAAACUUUAGUAAGCCUUUCAUCCACAGAUUGAUGGCCAGUC